rnacentral:piRNA from 1 species
AGGCCACACUGUUGGCGUUUGGUUCCUGG